GAUUGACUUUUCUGAUACAAUUUAUUUAAUUCAUGCUCAUUUUGUAUUUCAUUCAGAGUCUGGUCCACUUGGCCACCAGUGGGGAUGGGGGCACCAACCCCUGCACAGAGGCUUCGGAGCGAGCUGCCCGGACCGUGAUUUGAUGAGUGAGCUGCACUGUGCGCCCGACCAGCAAAGUUUCUUGUGAAAGUAACAUUUCGGGGCAGGGAUCGCCGCAGAGUUCUGUUGAAGCUUUCGACCUUUUGCGAGUUGGUGUUUUUGAUUGUCCUGUCCAGUACAGCUGGAGACAACCUCUUAGAGAUGCAGGCAUGGAGCCUUGCCUCAUUUUCCGCGGAAGACGCAGACCGUCCUUAUAGAGGGAAUCUGCAGCUCGACCGGCAGAGCUGUCCGGGUCAGUGGUUACCUCCCUUACCUCGAGGCCAUCUUUGCAGAGGAGUUCAGCCAUCCCCUCCCGAGCCCAAGUGAACUCAUCCCCAAUGGUAUGGUGCAUUGGUAGAUUUGCCCCACACACCCCAGGACUGCAGUGGUGGUUAGCAGUGCCCUCAUCCAAGACUUUCGCGUAGGAGGGGGAGUGUUGGUAGAAAGAAGGAUUUUCCUCAUCCCAUCAUUGCCUAUAGGGGUUUGACUGAGGCCAACUUGAAGCCCAUAGUUAACAGUGGCAGCUUUCCUACCCCGGGAUUUGGUCUCUACCUCCUCAUACAGAUUGUACCGCCUUGAUACAUAUAGACACUUAGUACAUCGAAGGCCCAUCCGGCUUCCCAGACCACGCCUCUCUUCGGAUGCCAGAUCCCAAUCAAGCGGUCCAUCGCACCCCGGAUUCCCUUGCUGGUGGAGAGAAAUCACCUCAUUCCACAUCUCGGCUGUUUUCCCAAGGUGUAGCAGUCGAUGGGAAUUUUGAUUGGCCAAUCUAGGCAUUUUGGAGGGCUUUCAACUUUCGGUCUCCUUGGCCUAAGGAGAUGGUGGCACAUGGGCCGCACGAGCAUUUCCUGCCCUUCCGCAGCUAUAGGAGUUUCCGAAACCAUCUGAUGCAAUUGCUGGGACAGUCUGUUGUACCGUGCAGUCAUCCAUAAAUCCAAAUAUGAUCACAAGUCUGAAAGUCAUUCACUCAGUCUAACACGGUUGGCCGCAGUAGGGUGUCAUCAGUUCAGAAGGUCACAGUAUCCAAGACGCUGAGGUUGCAGGACUCAGAUUUCAUACAUGUACUCGGAGUCUGGUCCACUUGGCCACCAGUGGGGAUGGGGGCACCAACCCCUGCACAGAGGCUUCGGAGCGAGCUGCCCGGACCGUGAUUUGAUGAGUGAGCUGCACUGUGCGCCCGACCAGCAAAGUUUCUUGUGAAAGUAACAUUUCGGGGCAGGGAUCGCCGCAGAGUUCUGUUGAAGCUUUCGACCUUUUGCGAGUUGGUGUUUUUGAUUGUCCUGUCCAGUACAGCUGGAGACAACCUCUUAGAGAUGCAGGCAUGGAGCCUUGCCUCAUUUUCCGCGGAAGACGACCGUCCUUAUAGAGGGAAUCUGCAGCUCGACCGGCAGAGCUGUCCGGGUCAGUGGUUACCUCCCUUACCUCGAGGCCAUCUUUGCAGAGGAGUUCAGCCAUCCCCUCCCGAGCCCAAGUGAACUCAUCCCCAAUGGUAUGGUGCAUUGGUAGAUUUGCCCCACACACCCCAGGACUGCAGUGGUGGUUAGCAGUGCCCUCAUCCAAGACUUUCGCGUAGGAGGGGGAGUGUUGGUAGAAAGAAGGAUUUUCCUCAUCCCAUCAUUGCCUAUAGGGGUUUGACUGAGGCCAACUUGAAGCCCAUAGUUAACAGUGGCAGCUUUCCUACCCCGGGAUUUGGUCUCUACCUCUUCAUACAGAUUGUACCGCCUUGAUACAUAUAGACACUUAGUACAUCGAAGGCCCAUCCGGCUUCCCAGACCACGCCUCUCUUCGGAUGCCAGAUCCCAAUCAAGCGGUCCAUCGCACCCCGGAUUCCCUUGCUGGUGGAGAGAAAUCACCUCAUUCCACAUCUCGGCUGUUUUCCCAAGGUGUAGCAGUCGAUGGGAAUUUUGAUUGGCCAAUCUAGGCAUUUUGGAGGGCUUUCAACUUUCGGUCUCCUUGGCCUAAGGAGAUGGUGGCACAUGGGCCGCACGAGCAUUUCCUGCCCUUCCGCAGCUAUAGGAGUUUCCGAAACCAUCUGAUGCAAUUGCUGGGACAGUCUGUUGUACCGUGCAGUCAUCCAUAAAUCCAAAUAUGAUCACAAGUCUGAAAGUCAUUCACUCAGUCUAACACGGUUGGCCGCAGUAGGGUGUCAUCAGUUCAGAAGGUCACAGUAUCCAAGACGCUGAGGUUGCAGGACUCAGAUUUCAUACAUGUACUCGGGUAAGUGUAAAGUCUUUAAAAAUUACUAAAUUGACUAAUUCCAAGGUAGGUAACAAUAUGAGUAUAGGAAUGAGAGUACCAAAUCCCCGGAUGUGCACAUGGCUUUGUUUGUGGCAGAAUGUAGAUUCAAGGAUUAAAUAGGUAGGCGUUGUCUGAUUGGCUGAAUUCAGGUAAGUAAUUAACUUAAUUUUAAAGUAAAAAUAUUAAUGUUUGAAAUAAAUGAUGGAAUGAGGAAAUAUUAUAGAAAGUAUAGAAAAGCCAGGGGAAGUUUUAGGAGUGGGGGUUGAUUUUUGACAUAGCAUGUUAUUUACUGCCGAUCUCUAUAAGUUGCGGAAAGGGGCAAUUUUGACCUAUAAACGCCAUGGGACCCUAUAUUUUUGUCAGUAUAUUUUGUAAGUGCAAAGAACAAAGUUUCCAAUAAUACCCAGGAUUUGUCUGAAAUUACAAUAGGUAAGUACUGAGAGGGCCUAAGAUUUGUAUUGAGUUCUAUGGGAA